UGCUUGAAUGAGUGCUAAACGUGACUUGUUUGCCAUCUCCACCUUGUGCAACUCCUCCUUGAGCACUCUUAUCUGAUGAUCUCCGAGUAUCACAUCCUGUUUCAGGUGCUUUAGAACCUGCUGCUUGCUUCCCGGCAAGAUACUUGUGGCUUUACGAUCUGUGGGAGAAACAGGAUCCUGCUCUGUGUGCUUGGAUAACUCUGGAUCUUGAACUUGCUUUCCUGUUUCAGAAUCUAUAGAAUCUUUGUUGGAUUCUAUUAUUAAUUUGAAAAGAAGAUCUAAGUAAUCUUGAUCUAUAGAAUCUUCGUUGGAGAGCUGCGGUAUGUCCCCAUCUGUUUCCGGCAGAGUGUCAUCAUUGGGUCCGCUACAUCCUUCCUCAUCUCUAUCCAAGGAGUGUACCUGCGGUAAAUCACACAAAGGUAAAUAGUUUAUAUCAAUGUAUACUUGUGACCAACCGGAGAUAUUAAAGUCUAAUUGGAGGGUCUUACAGGAAUUAUAUCCGACAAUUGAAGUUUCAUAUGUUGUUGGCCUUGUACUUGCUCCUCCUUUCAACAAUUAACGAAGAAUAAAAAAAAUUAGUGCUACAAACUAUAAGUUAAUGGUACAUCCCUGUACUGAUGUAUCUCUUUGGAAUUAUUUAGAAAAUAGAAAAUAAUAUGAUUAGACUUGUAGUCUCGUAUUUCUCCUCCUGUUGCAAUCUAGUUUUGACAUUCUUUACUCACGAUUUCUUUAAAGGAUUAGUUGUAUAGAAGUUACCAAUUAUUCGUUAUUUAUACAUUUUCCUUUUAUUUUUCGUAUCACCCAAUUUUGAAUUUAUUCACGGAAUUUCGAAAAGUGGUGGGUGGAAUGUAAAAAUAGAUUGUAACCGGGUCCUAAAAAAGUUAAGAAAAAAUAAAUCUAUACAACCUAAUAAAAGCCUUAAUUAGGGGACACAUGUCCACCUCCUAGGGCCUCUAAAUCUCAUUUUCCCGCCAAAAAGUUCAUUCUCCUCAUUUCCCUUGAAUAACCCGACACGGGAUCCAGCAACGAAUUCGGGUCCUCAUUAUUCGGACCAUAUUUAAUAGAACAAACUGAUCAACUUUUCCAUUCACCUUUCUUCUCUUAUACUCUUUGUGAUUUUAGGGUUUUUUUACCUUUCUAUCGUUCGAUUCUUCAUCAGAUCUAAUAACGAUUCUUGAAACAUCGACGGUAUGUAUGUUAUUCCUCUAAUACGUAAUCUUUGAAUCCGUAAUUUUAUUUGUUCUUAUUACUGAUUUUAGGGUUUUUUUCCUUUCUAUUGUUGGAUUCUUCAUCAGCUCUUAUACCGAUUCUUCGAACAUCGACGCUCUUAUACCGAUUCUUCGAACAUUGACGGUUUUGAAUAUGACGGAAAGUUCAUCAAGCAUGUGCCACCUUUUGUACAUCCAUCAAAGUUAUCAAAUCCAUUUGAUCUCAACGAAUUACCUUCAGUUCAAGCUGUAACAGAUAGGUGGCAGCGAUUUGGAGAUGAGAUUUUGAUUUUGGUGGAAAAAUGUUAUGGUGAAUAGUUUUUAUUUGGUGGACCUACUCUGUGUUUACACAAAUGGCUGAACACAAACCCUAAACUUCAUCUUCAUCGCCAUUUCGACUACCUUUCUAUCCACAAUGGAAUAAGGUUUGUUAAUCACCUGAGUUUGAUCAGGGAUAAAGAAGUCGCUGUAAAUGAUUAGCAGGGCACAAUGAUCGUAGAAGAAAGCCAACAACUUUAUUCGCCCUAUUUUUGGUUAGAUAUCAAAGAUUCAUAUUUGCUUUUGUUUCCAAAAUGGAUUAGUUUGGUUAGAUAUCAAAGAUUCAUAUUUUUGGUUAGAUAUCAAAGAUUCAGUUGAAAAGUUAGUU
rnacentral:lncRNA from 1 species